GUAGGGAAUAUUGGACAAUGGGGGCAACCCUGAUCCAGCGACGCCGCGUGAGUGAUGAAGGCCUUCGGGUCGUAAAGCUCUGUUGCAGGGGAAGAACACAAUGACGGUACCCUGCUAGAAAGGAUCGGCUAACUUCGUGCCAGCAGCCGCGGUAAGACGAGGGAUCCUAGCGUUGUUCGGAAUUAUUGGGCGUAAAGCGGGUGCAGGUGGCUUGGUAAGUCAGAUGUGAAAGCCUGGGGCUUAACCCCAGAAGUGCAUUUGAUACUGCUGAGCUUGAGUGCUGGAGAGGCUAGUAGAAUUCCUGGUGUAGUGGUGAAAGACGUAGAUAUCAGGAGGAAUACCGGAGUCGAAGGCGGAUAGCUGGCCAGACACUGACACUCAGACCCGAAAGCGUGGGGAUCAAACAGGAUUAGAAACCCGGGUAGUCC
rnacentral:rRNA from 1 species